CUGCUGUAGAAGUUUCUAUAGUAUUUAUACCAGUCCCUGAAAGAAGUCCAUAUUUUGUCACCUCACCUAUAGAAGGUGCAUUCAUCGUUGAUUGAGACGAUGGCCAAGAUGAGAAAAUUAAGAUUUGAAAUAGGAUCAUUGGAUAGCAUCACCUUGUGGAUUAUGUUAUACUUCCAUAUGCCCGACUUCUCUCCAAGCUCAUUUUUUUGGUGAAAUUAUGUCAAGCAACAUUGGAUGUAGAGGGAGUUUUACUCGCACUCUUGAAAAUGGAUUCAAGAGAGAUAUCUCUAAAUCAUGAUCCAAUGUAAACAACCAUCCAUAAGAUGAUCCACAACACUUAUUGCCAAGCUUGAGUUAAAAAAGUUUGCAUUUCUCCGUAUUAGAAAUACUAAUGAAGCAGCAAGCUGAGGAGUCCUCAUAUGGUAGCAUUAACAAGGGAGGUCUUUGACAUAAGCGAUAGCAUUUCUCUAGUGCAAUCAGCC
rnacentral:lncRNA from 1 species